GGGGCACCUUGGUGGCUCAGUGUUUGAGCAUCUGCCGUUGGCUCAGGGCAUGAUCCUGGGAUUCCUGGGAUUGAGUCCCGCAUCAGGCUUUCCACAGGGAGCCUGCUUCUCUCUGCUUAUGUCACUGCCUCUCUCUGUGUCUCCCAUGAAUAAAUAAAUAAAAUCUUAAAACACAGACACACACACACACACAUACACACAACCAAAAUAGCUGUCAAGUUCCUGGUCCUGUGCCCAGCACGGGGUGGCCUCCCCCUCUGAGAACGGCCCCAUCAGAGCCACCCUGAGCCCUCCUUCCUGGGUGAUGUGGGAAUUACAUUAUGUCAUAAACAGAUGCUGGCCUUGCCUGUGAGCGUGCUUGACAAGAUGCGCACUUUAAACUGAUUUUCUCUGUCCUUCAACUGAAAUGAGGUGAAACAAAUAGCCAGACAGUAUUGGAGAUACACGCCUUUCCCAAGCUCCCAUUCAAUGUGAACCCCUCAACACAAGGGUCUUCCUCCCCACACAGAAGCUGUGCUCAAAGUAGCCCCAGUGAGGGCCAAGCCAAGAGGAAGUCACAGAGGCCAAAGCUGAAGACGUGUAGACCUUGUAAGACAAGCAGGAACCACUCUGGAUCUAAUUUCACUUUUGCAGGGGUCUCAUGGCUCCCUAAGUCUCAGAGCUCACCUCCUCAAGGCUGAAGGCUCCUUUACACUGCGAGCUCCUUGCCACACUCAAGAUCAUGUGGACACAGAGAGCCCCGAGGGCACUCACACCACCC
rnacentral:lncRNA from 1 species